ACAUCCAGCGAACUUGGCAGAGAUGCCUUGGUGGCCUUCGGGAACGCUGAGACAGGUGCUGCAUGGCUGUCGUCAGCUCGUGUUGUGAAAUGUUGGGUUAAGUCCCCGCAACGAGCGCAACCCUUAUCCUUUGUUGCCAGCGAUUCGGUCGGGAACUCAAAGGAGACUGCCGGUGAUAAACCGGAGGAAGGUGGGGAUGACGUCAAGUCAUCAUGGCCCUUACGAGUAGGGCUACACACGUGCUACAAUGGCGCAUACAAAGAGAAGCGACCUCGCGAGAGCAAGCGGACCUCAUAAAGUGCGUCGUAGUCCGGAUCGGAGUCUGCAACUCGACUCCGUGAAGUCGGAAUCGCUAGUAAUCGUGGAUCAGAAUGCCACGGUGAAUACGUUCCCGGGCCUUGUACACACCGCCCGUCACACCAUGGGAGUGGGUUGCAAAAGAAGUAGGUAGCUUAACCUUCGGGAGGGCGCUUACCACUUUGUGAUUCAUGACUGGGGUGAAGUCGUAACAAGGUAGGCGUAGCGAG
rnacentral:rRNA from 1 species